AACGAGACUCUCACCUACGAUAACGACGGGCCGCACGGGGUGUCGAAGACAGCCCUCCAGUUCUCAGCUGGCGUUCUGCGAGCUCUUCCGGAUAUAGUAGCUAUCACUGCUCCUUCAGUCCUAUCAUAUCAACGCCUCAUCCCCCAGAGGUGGUCUGCA
rnacentral:ribozyme from 1 species